UGAACGCUGGCGGCGUGCCUAACACAUGCAAGUCGAACGAAGCACUGUAAACGGAGAUUCGUCGAAGUUUGCUUUGACUUAGUGGCAAACGGGUGAGUAACGCGUAAGCAACCUGCCCUUCAGAUGGGGACAACAACUGGAAACGGCUGCUAAUACCGAAUACGUUCUUUUUGUCGCAUGGCAGAGAGAAGAAAGGGAGGCUCUUCGGAGCUUUCGCUGAAGGAGGGGGCUUGCGUCUGAUUAGCUAGUUGGAGGGGUAACGGCCCACCAAGGCGACGAUCAGUAGCCGGUCUGAGAGGAUGAACGGCCACAUUGGGACUGAGACACGGCCCAGACUCCUACGGGAGGCAGCAGUGGGGAAUCUUCCGCAAUGGACGAAAGUCUGACGGAGCAACGCCGCGUGAACGAUGACGGCCUUCGGGUUGUAAAGUUCUGUUAUACGGGACGAAUGGCGUAGCGGUCAAUACCCGUUACGAGUGACGGUACCGUAAGAGAAAGCCACGGCUAACUACGUG
rnacentral:rRNA from 1 species